GCCUUCAGAUGCAGGAUUAUACUCAUGUUUACCAUUCGAACAGGAGUGGAUAUUGACUAUAACAGCUUUUGCCAAUUCAGACAGAGAAAUACAACAAGACAAUAUAUGGCCAUUCUACAUAGUUUUCUCAGUAAGCACAGUGUGUGUCACAGUAUGUCUCUUCUGUGGCAUGUAUCUUCACAGGAAAUGGAAAAAAAGGGCAGCCUUUGAUCCAACUGAAACUAGCAAUGAGCUUGUCUACACCACGACAAGCUCAGAUAACUUUUCCAUUGGCUUUAAAUCCUGAGCAUCAACAAGUACUGCUUUACAGAGUCACCAGCUCCUCCUUCUACAGAAACAGGAAGCAGAUGUUUGUAUGUUCUACAACUAAUAACUGUUUUAAUGACUGUGUUAAAGAGGCAUUUCUGUAUUUAUGUUUGUGUUGUUUCUGAAAUAUAUGUCAGUUGAAUGCUUAUUGAAAUAAACGAAAAAAAAAGUG